GUGAUUUUAUGAACACCUAUACCAAAAUUUUGUUCAUAGCAUCAAUAUUUUUAAGCAUUACAAACUUGGGACUAAACUUAGUAUACCUUGGCAUAUUUCAAAUACAUGGCAUAAAAAUCAACAAUAAUGUAUUAAGG